UCCAAAGAUAGCGAAGGAGUAGAAUUUCAUUUCAAGUUCAGCUGAUGGUCUUCUACAUUUUGUUAGAAUUUUAUGUAUUAUUUAUCAUUUGUCAAAACUUGGGAACUGUUUCAUCCGAAUAAUUCUGUAAGCUAGUGUUUAUUCCGCCACAGCAUUAGAUUCAACGAAUUAUAAGUUUACGGCAAAUAGCGAGGCUUUUGCUUCCGGUUAUUGGAAUAUUGGGUAAUAAGGAAGAUGGCAGCGACCAGGAGGUUGCAGAAAGAGCUCGGCGACAUCCGAUCGUCGGGCAUGAAAUCUUUCCGAGAAAUCCAAGUGGAUGACUCUAAUAUAUUAACAUGGCAAGGUCUUAUAGUGCCGGAUAAUGCCCCUUAUAAUAAAGGUGCGUUUAGGAUUGAAAUAAAUUUUCCUGCAGAAUACCCAUUCAAACCACCAAAAAUUAAUUUCAAGACCAAAAUAUAUCAUCCGAACAUUGAUGAGAAGGGCCAAGUCUGUCUGCCGAUCAUCAGCGCUGAAAACUGGAAACCAGCAACGAAAACAGAUCAAGGUAUGGAUAUGACUUCUAAGUGUAAUAGAGCGCGUCCGCGGGCUGUAAUGGGGGACGACAUGUUUGUCCGUCAUUAAGUUUCUGCAACUUUUUGGGCUUGUGACGGAGAUAGUGAAAUGCGGCGUAUGCAAGCAGAAUAUGCAAGUUGGGGGUUAGUGUGUAGCGCCGGAACUUUUUUAUGUGAUCCAGGCGUUGGUAGCACUUGUGAAUGACCCAGAACCUGAACAUCCACUUCGUGCUGACCUGGCUGAAGAGUAUCUCAAAGACCGUAAAAAGUUUGUGAAAAAUGCUGAAGAGUUCACCAAGAAGCAUAGUGAGAAGCGACCGUCCGAUUAAAGUCUGUGAAAUGAUGCAGUUCCUGCCUGGACUUUGGGAGGAGAGGUUUUGUGA
rnacentral:misc_RNA from 1 species